rnacentral:rRNA from 1 species
UUUGGAGGAAAGGUAGGGGAUCGCAAGACCUUGCGCUUUUGGAGCGGCCGAUGUCUGAUUAGCUAGUUGGUGAGGUAAAGGCUUACCAAGGCUUCGAUCAGUAGCUGGUCUGAGAGGACGACCAGCCACACUGGGACUGAGACACGGCCCAGACUCCUACGGGAGGCAGCAGUGGGGAAUUUUGGACAAUGGGGGAAACCCUGAUCCAGCCAUGCCGCGUGAGUGAAGAAGGCCUUCGGGUUGUAAAGCUCUUUCAGCCGGAACGAAAAGGUUACGGUUAAUACCCGUGACUAAUGACGGUACCGGAAGAAGAAGCACCGGCUAACUACGUGCCAGCAGCCGCGGUAAUACGUAGGGUGCGAGCGUUAAUCGGAAUUACUGGGCGUAAAGCGUGCGCAGGCGGUUUUGUAUGUCAGAUGGAAUCCACCCAUCAGAAAAGG